rnacentral:misc_RNA from 1 species
AAAUGCGAUAAGUAAUGUGAAUUGCAGAAUUCAGUGAAUCAUCGAAUCUUUGAACGCACCUUGCGCUCCUUGGUAUUCCUUGGAGCAUGCCUGUUUGAGUAUCAUGAAAUCUUCAAAGUAAAUCUUUUGUUAACUCAAUUGGUUUCUACUUUGGUAUUGGAGGUCUUUGCAGCUUCACACCUGCUCCUCUUUGUUCAUUAGCUGGAUCUCAGUGUUAUGCUUGGUUCCACUCGGCGUGAUAAGUUAUCUAUCGCUGAGGACACUGUAAAAGGUGGCCAAGGUAAAUGCAGAUGAACCGCUUCUAAUAGUCCAUUGACUUUGACAAUACUUUUAUGAUCUGAUCUCAAAUCAGGUAGGACUACCCGCUGAACUUAAGC